rnacentral:rRNA from 1 species
AACGAACGCUGGCGGCAUGCCUAACACAUGCAAGUCGAACGAGACCUUCGGGUCUAGUGGCGCACGGGUGCGUAACGCGUGGGAACCUGCCCUUAGGUUCGGAAUAACUCCCCGAAAGGGGUGCUAAUACCGGAUAAUGUCUUCGGACCAAAGAUGUAUCGCCCUUGGAUGGGCCCGCGUUGGAUUAGCUGGUUGGUAGGGUAAAAGCCUACCAAGGCGACGAUCCAUAGCUGGUCUGAGAGGAUGAGCAGCCACGCAGAGACUAAGACACGGCCCAGACUCCUACGGGAGGCAGCAAUUGGGAAUAUUGGACAGCGGGGGAGAGCGUGAUGGUGCUACGAGGCGUGAGUUAUGGAUCUGUUAGCGUUCUAAAUGUCUUUUAACCGGGAUGAUAAUGACAGUACCGGGAGAAAGAGCACCUGCUAACUACGUG